UCUCCGUUGGUGAACCAGCGGAGGGAUCAUUACAGGAUCGAAAGACUCCUAUAACCCCCUGUGAACUUACUACAAAUACGUUGCUUCGGCGGGUGCCCCGGGUCUCCCGGGGCGUUCAGCCCGCCGGCAGCCUUCAAAUUCUGUUUCUUUGCGUUGGCAUCUCGAGUAUACAAAAAUAAGUUAAAACUUUCAACAACGGACCUCUUGGUUCUG
rnacentral:misc_RNA from 1 species